GUGCCAGCAGCCGCGGUCAUACGUAGGUGGCAAGCGUUAUCCGGAAUUAUUGGGCGUAAAGCGCGCGCAGGCGGUUCUUAAGUCUGAUGUGAAAGCCCACGGCUCAACCGUGGAGGUCAUUGGAAACUGGGGAACUUGAGUGCAGAAGAGAAGAGUGGAAUUCCACGUGUAGCGGUGAAAUGCGUAGAGAUGUGGAGGAACACCAGUGGCGAAGGCGACUCUUUGGUCUGUAACUGACGCUGAGGCGCGAAAGCGUGGGGAGCAAACAGGAUUAGAUACCCUGGUAGUCC
rnacentral:rRNA from 1 species